AUGUGGCCUAUAUCAGAUUCCAGGGUGAACUGUCUGCGGUUUCGAACUGACCCGCAUGAUCAAAAUAACAAUAACAAUGACAUCAGACGCAGCACGCUGUUGCACUAAAGUUAGGGAGGUUAUGCAGGAAGUCAGCAUUUUCGCUUUUAUGACAUCAUGUUUGUG